GGUAGGAUGGCCGAAUAUAGGCGGAGGGCUGUAAACCCCCACAUGUAGAUUUAUUACUGCUGCUACCA
rnacentral:tRNA from 1 species